rnacentral:rRNA from 1 species
AACGAACGCUGGCGGCAUGCCUAACACAUGCAAGUCGAACGAGACCUUCGGGUCUAGUGGCGCACGGGUGCGUAACGCGUGGGAACCUGCCCUUAGGUUCGGAAUAACUCCCCGAAAGGGGUGCUAAUACCGGAUAAUGUCUUCGGACCAAAGAUUUAUCGCCUUUGGAUGGGCCCGCGUUGGAUUAGCUAGUUGGUAGGGUAAAAGCCUACCAAGGCGACGAUCCAUAGCUGGUCUGAGAGGAUGAUCAGCCACCCUGGGACUGAGACACGGCCCAGACUCCUACGGGAGGCAGCAGUGGGGAAUAUUGGACAAUGGGCGAAAGCCUGAUCCAGCAAUGCCGCGUGAGUGAUGAAGGCCUUAGGGUUGUAAAGCUCUUUUACCCGGGAUGAUAAUGACAGUACCGGGAGAAUAAGCUCCGGCUAACUCCGUG